AAACUAACAAGGAUUCCCCUAGUAACGGCGAGUGAAGCGGGAUGAGGCUCAAAUUUAAAAUCUGGCGGCCUCAGGUCGUCCGAGUUGUAGUCUAGAGAAUCGUUUUCCGCGUUGGCCUGUGUACAAGUCCCUUGGAACAGGGCGUCAUAGAGGGUGAGAAUCCCGUCCUUGACACAGAUUACCAAUGCUUUGUGAUGCGAUCUCGAAGAGUCGAGUUGUUUGGGAAUGCAGCUCAAAAUGGGUGGUAAAUUCCAUCUAAAGCUAAAUAUUGGCGAGAGACCGAUAGCGAACAAGUACCGUGAGGGAAAGAUGAAAAGCACUUUGGAAAGAGAGUUAAACAGUACGUGAAAUUGUUAAAAGGGAAACGAUUGAAGUCAGUCAUGCUUUCCGAGACUCAGCCGAUUCUGUCGGUGUACUUCUCGGUUGGCAGGCCAGCAUCAGUUUCGAUCUGUGGAAAAGGUUGGAGGGAACGUGGCAUCUCCGGAUGUGUUAUAGCCCUUCUUCGAAUACAUAGAGCGGGACUGAGGAACGCAGCGCGCCUUUUAUUAGGUUGGCCCUCGGGUACAUACGCGCUUAGGAUGCUGGCAUAAUGGCUUUAAACGAC
rnacentral:rRNA from 1 species